rnacentral:rRNA from 2 species
GACAGAGGUGGCAAGCGUUGUUCGGAUUUACUGGGCGUAAAGAGUGCGUAGGUGGUGAGGUAAGACCUGUGGGAAAGACCUGGGCUUAACCCAGGAAGGUCGCAGGUGACUGCCUCGCUUGAGGACGGGAGAGGAGAGCGGAAUUCCCGGUGUAGCGGUGAAAUGCGUAGAGAUCGGGAAGAAGGCCGGUGGCGAAGGCGGCUCUCUGGAACGUUCCUGACACUGAGGCACGAAAGCGUGGGGAGCAAACAGG